rnacentral:misc_RNA from 1 species
AACGCACCUUGCGCUCCUUGGUAUUCCGAGGAGCAUGCCUGUUUGAGUGUCAUUUAAUUCUCAACUAUACAAGUUUUCUCAAAACCUGUAUAGCUUGGAUCUUGGGAUCUGCGGGCUUUAACAAGUCGGCUAUCCUCAAAUGUAUUAGCAGAGCUUUUGCCGCUAACCUCUGGUGUGAUAAUUAUCUACGCCAUUGAGCUGCGACAUAAUGAGGCUUAGCUUCUAAUCGUCCGCAAGGACAAUACUUGACAAUCUGACCUCAAAUCAGGUAGGACUACCCGCUGAACUUAA